rnacentral:lncRNA from 1 species
AAAUCUACCACAGAAAGAUCCCUAAAUCAAUGGUGGCCACUAGUACUCAAAUCUUCGCUAAAAUGGUACAUAAGUGUAGUAUGAGUACCAAAACCCCGUGUACUGAGCUAGAUCAUAAUAGAGAUAUAAUAAGAUGCAAGAUAACAUAACUAAUUCAUAGAAAAAGAUAAACCCAAGCAUAGCUCUCUCUUUCUUGUACACAAUUAAAUAAAAAAUCCAG